UUACCCGGAAUGAACGUCUUAUCGGGGCCAUGAAAACCAUUGGGAGUGCGGUUAGUGCAUCCUAAUCUCUAGCGAAUGGCGUACGUGUCGCUAAUCAGGUGACCUUCUGCAUUCCGGACGAGACUAUGGCAUCCAUGGGAGCUUUGCAUUCAAGCAUACCCCACCUACGAUCGCAGGGUAUCGAAAACAAAUGGCAAUCGUAAUAGUAAGAGCGUUUAAUGCAUUUGGCGAGGAAAUUACGCGAGUUUGUAUAGAGUUGUUUGGAACCGCCGCACACCUGCGUGCCAAAUCGCAUGGCUCCAAUAUAUCGGUGACAAAUCCGAGCAUCGCUGAGCGCCAAAUGAAUGCCCAAGAUGGAUGGCUGAAUGGCACUGGAUGGUUGCAGGGCAGCCGGAAUUACCAUAAUGAUCUCAAUAUUUGCUCAACUUUAUCACGACGACCAUUUAAUUGCAGCGCGCUAAUCGCGGCCCGUUCGCCUCAGUUUCAGUAUCUCAGCACUUCAGCCUUCCAGCCAUCGCAGCAUCGCAGCAUCUCAGCACAAUUAGACACGCGAGUGGCGGCAGCAGGGCGUAUGAGUAAUGCGGGCGCAGUGCAGCGAUUCUAUCGCCCGGCCUUCAUCUGUACCCCCAUCUGCGGCAUCUGAACCACCACCCUCGACUUGGCGUCACUUAUUUUGGGCACCACUAACCGGAGCAUUUGUGGCACUGGGCGAGGCAAUUACUCACAGCAAGGGCAGCUCCGUCAACAGAUUGGGCAGCUGCUCCACUCCGGGGAGGCGGCGGACAAGUGGGCGGCACCAGCGGUGGCAACAGGGGCGGCGCCAAAGGGAGUCCUUCAUAGGGAUAAAUGCUAUAAUCGAGCCCCCUUUGGCCAACGCCCCUGUGUGGCAGACCCACUGCAACAAAAGUUGCAACAAAUUAGCUGCGAAACGGGCGCGUGAGAAAAACAAAGUUGUGCGGUCGCAGGUCUUAAAAAUAGUUCGCAAAACGUGACGUGACAUUGGGGAUUACCAAGGAGCACCAAACUGGGCAGAUUGACUCAUUUUAAUGAGCCGAGUGGGCGGAGUGCGAAGUGAGCCAACAAAUUU
ensembl:ncRNA lncRNA:CR44953 long non-coding RNA:CR44953